GCGAGUGUGGUUUAGUGGUAGAACUACUGCCUUCCAAGCAGUGGGCGCGGGUUCGAUUCCCGCCACUCGCA
rnacentral:tRNA from 1 species